rnacentral:misc_RNA from 1 species
CUGAGUUAUCAAACUCCAAACCCAUGUGAACAUACUCUUGUUGCCUCGGCGGCGAGCCUACCCGGGACCUACCCUGGAGCUACCCUGUACUUACCUACCCGGUACCUACCCUGUAGCGCUGGCAGACCGCCGAAGGACCAACUUAAACUCUUGUUUCUAUGUGGCACAUCUGAGUUACAUAUAUAAAUAAGUCA